UAGGAACUCAGGAUUUUUGUCAUGUAAUACCAUAUUAGUAAUCCAGUCAUGUGCAGCCUUUUGCAACGGUUUUCCUUUUGUCUAAGUUUCACGCCUGGCGUCUUUGAAACGCUAUACAGCCAGCUACUUUUAUCAAAUCGGUGGGAAAAAAACCCAUCUACAUGUGACAGCAUGCAAUAUUGCUGGGAGUGAUAAUCGAAGGGACUGUAAAGACUGAUGAUAAACAUCAGAUCAGCAUACAUUUUAAAUGUACUAAAUACUCAAUCCUAUUUGAGAAAAAUAUAUCAAUAUUUU